AGAGCUACACACGACCCUAUAUCCAUCACUAGGAUGUUAAGCAUGGAAGUGCACAAAACCUAGCCAGUUUACCUUGCUGCCAGGCCAUGAUCCAUCGGGCUAACCACUGAUUACAUCUGUGUUCCUAAUAACUCAUCCUGGGAGAAGAAAUUCACCCAGCUCUCUGAAGCAGUGCCUCAGUUCUCCUGGUUAUCUCCAAACUAAUAAAGCAAACCGAUACUCCUAAUGUGGAGUUUGCACCUCUACCAGAGACAUUUGUCCUUGCUGAGACUACAGCUGUGUGUGCCCCAUGCAGACCCACCACUGCAGACAUUUUCCCUGGAGGAAAAGAAGUAUGAUUCCCAGGAAGGGUAACCUCUGCCACCUUCACUGUGAGCUCACUAAGCUUUGCUCUGCAGGAAGAACAAUUAAAUGCUGACAUCCCUAUGUCACCCGAGUCAGGCAUGAGAGCAUCAGUGCUACACUAUCAGAGUGAAGCAAGUAAGGCAGCACUGGUCCCAGGAUUGCAUCAAGUCCCUGACAUCACAGCAGCGCUAGCAUCACUGAAGUCCCCUAUAUGUGCCUAACAGCUCCUAAAGGUAAAUCUAUGACCUUCUACAUACUCUACAUGUUUGC
rnacentral:lncRNA from 1 species